rnacentral:lncRNA from 1 species
CUCUCCCGACCCUCACAAUUACCUUGCCCUCGCAGGUCCCAGCCUCGAUGUUCACUCGCAAGGAGUUGGCCACGGGGUGGCCCUGAUGAUAGUAGAAGGCCACGAAGUAGAAGGAGGGCGUCAGGCGAUGGUCCACCAACACUGAGAUGGAGGUCACUGUCGUCCUGGGCUCUCGACCCACAGACACAAUCUCGCCCCGGGACAGGAUCUGGCCAAGAGGAGGGGCAGAGCGGGAGCCUCUUUGUGGGCCCGAGGAUCCGGCCGCUCAAUAGACAGAAAGCCAGAGCUUCCUGAGACUGGGGCUCGCACGGUGAGCCUGGCUACGGCCGGAUAGAGGGAGCCCACGGACACCUGGGAGGGGCAGGUGCACAAGGUCAGUGACAAGGGUUGUGUGUCCCACUGCUCCUCCCAGGCUGGGCCAGGGACCCUCAGGAACCAGCUCAGCCUCCGUCCCUUCCCCACUGCUCCCACAGCGCAGAGCAGGCCUACCAAGAGCUGAAGUUCUGUGGUUCCCCUCGCGACAUCGAUGGGAAUGUUGACCUGGCCCAUCCUAUCUGUGUUAAGUUUAAUCUCUUGGACUUUAGAAGAAGACCCGGAAGCCGUGGCAGAAACUUUGACAGGAAUGCCAGAGGCUUGGGAGCCUGACACUUCUCGGACCAGGGCCUAGGUGGGUAGAAGGGCCGGCGAAAAAGAGUGGUCAGCAAGACCUGGCCCUCCAGACCAACACACACUCCCGAAGCCUGCCCUCCAGAGCCCACCUGCAGCAGGAAGGGGGCCCCAGGCACCAGGUGGCGCUUGGUGUUGCUGAGAUCCAAGGAGAAGGCAGACGGCACAAAACGCCAGGACGUGAGCUCCGCCUCUUCCAUCUCCCCCCUGCAAGACACAGGGCAGAGCCUGGGAAGAGGGGAGCAGGAGGCCAAGGGGUGUCUGCAUGUCUCCCCCGCAUUCAGGAGUCCGAUCUGCGCUCAUCUCUACCAUCCCCAAGGCCCAAAGCAGCACCCGCACACAGACGUGAGUGGACGGGUGAAUGAGCACCCGACGGGAGGGGCGGAGGGGCAGAGGCAGAGCUGGAGAGGGG